rnacentral:piRNA from 1 species
UAAAAGUUACAUAUGUUUGAGAGUCAU